UACCCAAGUCACCGCCCUUACACAUGCAAGUCGAACGCCCCGCAAGGGGAGUGGCAGACGGGUGAGUAACGCGUGGGAAUCUACCGUGCCCUGCGGAAUAGCUCCGGGAAACUGGAAUUAAUACCGCAUACGCCCUACGGGGGAAAGAUUUAUCGGGGUAUGAUGAGCCCGCGUUGGAUUAGCUAGUUGGUGGGGUAAAGGCCUACCAGGCGACGAUCCAUAGCUGGUCUGAGAGGAUGAUCAGCCACAUUGGGACUGAGACACGGCCCAAACUCCUACGGGAGGCAGCAGUGGGGAAUAUUGGACAAUGGGCGCAAGCCUGAUCCAGCCAUGCCGCGUGAGUGAUGAAGGCCUUAGGGUUGUAAAGCUCUUUCACCGGAGAAGAUAAUGACGGUAUCCGGAGAAGAAGCCCCGGCUAACUUCGUGCCAGCAGCCGCGGUAAUACGAAGGGGGCUAGCGUUGUUCGGAAUUACUGGGCGUA
rnacentral:rRNA from 1 species